GAUGAGUGGGAUUCUGUUCCAUGUGUCAUUCCGCAAUUCAUGACUAGAUCCACACUCAUCCA
rnacentral:pre_miRNA from 1 species